rnacentral:rRNA from 1 species
GUGGGGAAUAUUGGACAAUGGAGGCAACUCUGAUCCAGCCAUGCCGCGUGUGUGAAGAAGGCCUUUUGGUUGUAAAGCACUUUAAGCGAGGAGGAGGCUUACCUGGUUAAUACCUGGGAUAAGUGGACGUUACUCACAGAAUAAGCACCGGCUAACUCUGUGCCAGCAGCCGCGGUAAUACAGAGGGUGCAAGCGUUAAUCGGAUUUACUGGGCGUAAAGCGCGCGUAGGUGGCUAAUUAAGUCAAAUGUGAAAUCCCCGAGCUUAACUUGGGAAUUGCAUUCGAUACUGGUUAGCUAGAGUAUGGGAGAGGAUGGUAGAAUUCCAGGUGUAGCGGUGAAAUGCGUAGAGAUCUGGAGGAAUACCGAUGGCGAAGGCAGCCAUCUGGCCUAAUACUGACACUGAGGUGCGAAAGCAUGGGGAGCAAACAGGAUUAGAUACCCUAGUAGUCC